rnacentral:rRNA from 1 species
UACGUAGGGUGCGAGCGUUAAUCGGAAUUACUGGGCGUAAAGCGUGCGCAGGCGGUUAUGUAAGACAGACGUGAAAUCCCCGGGCUCAACCUGGGACCUGCAUUUGUGACUGCAUAGCUAGAGUACGGUAGAGGGGGAUGGAAUUCCGCGUGUAGCAGUGAAAUGCGUAGAUAUGCGGAGGAACACCGAUGGCGAAGGCAAUCCCCUGGACCUGUACUGACGCUCAUGCACGAAAGCGUGGGUAGCAAACAGG